CGGAAGGUAGGCCAGUGGUUAAGCCGCCAGUUUUGGGAACUGGACAGCGGGGGUUCAAAUCCCCCCCUUCCGA
rnacentral:tRNA from 1 species